GUGAGGAAUUUUCCGCAAUGGGCGAAAGCCUGACGGAGCAAUGCCGCGUGAAGGAUGAAGGCCUAUGGGUUGUAAACUUCUUUUCUCAGAAAAGAAUUAUGACGGUAUCUGAGGAAUAAGCAUCGGCUAACUCUGUGCCAGCAGCCGCGGUAAGACAGAGGAUGCAAGUGUUAUCCGGAAUGAUUGGGCGUAAAGCGUCUGUAGGUUGUUUAAAAAGUAUUCUGUCAAAGAUUAGGGCUUAACCCUAGAUAGGCAGAAUAAACUUUUAAGCUAGAGUUUGGUAGAGGCGGAGGGAAUUCCCGGUGGAGCGGUGAAAUGCGUAGAUAUCGGGAGGAACACCAAAGGCGAAGGCACUCUGCUGGGCCAAUACUAACACUGAGAGACGAAAGCGAGGGGAGCAAAUGGGAUUAGAUACCCCAGUAGUCC
rnacentral:rRNA from 1 species